GUAGGUGGCAAGCGUUGUCCGGAAUUAUUGGGCGUAAAGCGCGCGCAGGCGGUCCUUUAAGUCUGAUGUGAAAGCCCACGGCUCAACCGUGGAGGGUCAUUGGAAACUGGGGGACUUGAGUACAGAAGAGGAAAGCGGAAUUCCAAGUGUAGCGGUGAAAUGCGUAGAGAUUUGGAGGAACACCAGUGGCGAAGGCGGCUUUCUGGUCUGUAACUGACGCUGAGGCGCGAAAGCGUGGGGAGCAAACAGGAUUAGAUACCCUGGUAGUCCACGCCGUAAACGAUGAGUGCUAAGUGUUAGGGGGUUUCCCGCCCCCUUAGUGCUGCAGCUAACGCAUUAAGCACGCCGCCUGGGGAGUACGGCCGCAAGGCUG
rnacentral:rRNA from 1 species